rnacentral:SRP_RNA from 1 species
GCCGGGCACCGCGGCCUGUGCCUGUGAUCCCCGCUCCUGGGGAGGCCGAGGCAGGUGGAUCGCUGGAGCUCAGGAGUUCGGGGCUGCAGGGGGCUGUGCCGAGCGGGUGUCCGCACUCAGUUCGGUAUCGAGAUGGUGAUCGCUGGGGAGCUUGGGGUCCCCAGGUUGUCUAAGGAGGGGUGAACCGGCCCCGGUCGGAAACGGAGCAGGUCAAAACUCCCGAGCCGAUCAGUAGUGGGGUCUGUGAAUAGCCUGUGAAUAGCCCACGCGCCUGUGAAUAGCCCCUGCGGCGUAGCCUGGGCAAGACAGCGAGACCCGGUCUCUU